UACGAAGGGGGGCUAGCGUUGCUCGGAAUCACUGGGCGUAAAGGGCGCGUAGGCGGCCGAUUAAGUCGGGGGUGAAAGCCUGUGGCUCAACCACAGAAUUGCCUUCGAUACUGGUUGGCUUGAGACCGGAAGAGGACAGCGGAACUGCGAGUGUAGAGGUGAAAUUCGUAGAUAUUCGCAAGAACACCGAUAGCGAAGGCAGCUUGCUACACAAU
rnacentral:rRNA from 1 species